rnacentral:rRNA from 1 species
UACAGAGGGUGCGGGCGUUGUUCGGAAUUAUUGGCGUAAAGGGCGCGUAGGCGGCGCCACAAGUCACUUGUGAAAACUCUGGGCUCAACCCAGAGCCUGCAGGCGAAACUGUGGUGCUGGAGUAUGGGAGAGGUGCGUGGAAUUCCGGUGUAGCGGUGAAAUGCGUAGAUAUCGGGAGGAACACCUGUGGCGAAAGCGGCGCACUGGACCAUAACUGACGCUGAGGCGCGAAAGCUAGGGAGCAA